rnacentral:lncRNA from 1 species
GACAAACAACAUACAAAAACUCACUCUGUCACUCAGGCUGGAGUGCAAUGGCACGAUCUCGGCUCACUGCAACCUCUGCCUCGAGGGCUCUGAGAGAUUUCAUUUCUGUCCUGCUGAUGAAGUCUACGUUCAUUCAGGGCCUGCUGUGGAAGACCAGCCCCAAAGUUGCUGAACAGAAGACUUUUGAGAGUCAGCAGAAAUCUUCCACUUUGCAUGGUUCUCUUGAUGUGAAAUCAUCUAUAUAGCCCCAGAAUUGGAAAAG